UACGUAGGGUGCAAGCGUUGUCCGGAAUUACUGGGCGUAAAGCGUAUGUAGGCGGAUCGUUAAGUCGGGGGUGAAAUCCCGAGGCUCAACCUCGGAACUGCCUUCGAUACUGGCGAUCUUCGAGUCCGGGAGAGGUGAGUGGAACUCCGAGUGUAGAGGUGAAAUUCGUAGAUAUUCGGAAGAACACCAGUGGCGAAGGCGGCUCACUGGCCCGGUACUGACGCUGAGACGGCGGAAAGCGUGGGGAGCCGAA
rnacentral:rRNA from 1 species